GUGUUACUGGAAAUAAGCACAUCCCCUCAGGACUAAACUCGGACAUUCCUGGUUUUGUGUCUCAGUUUCUCCAAAACGAUGAAGAAUAAUCUGUGUGUAGCGGCACUUUGCCUCCUGAGUGCAGUAAUCCUGUGCCGAGCGACAACCACUGAGGCUCCAGUAACUUUAACUGGGUCAACGUCGGCUCAAGGAACACAAACUACUACACCCACCACAGCUAGUACACCCACAACAGCUACCACUGCUACUACAACCACUACACACUCUACAGCACCAACCGAACCCCAUUCAGCUUCAACUGGUGGACAAACUAGCGCUUCAACUGGUGGACCCACUGUAAUGCCAACUGGUGGACCCACUGUAAUGCCAACUGGUGGACCCACUGUAAUGCCAACUGGUGGACCCACUGUAAUGCCAACUGGUGGACCCACUGUAAUGCCAACUGGUGGACCCAGCCCCAAACCUCCAGGACUCUCAGGAGGAGCGAUAGCUGGCAUCACCAUAGGAACAAUUGCUGGAGCGGGCUUAUUGGGCGGCGGUAUCUACGGUCUGCUGAAGUACACCAACAAAAUCUGAGACUAACACCAUUCAAAUUAUGAUUUAUGUGGCCACUCAUUGCACAAUAAACAAUUUCCUACUCCAACGUUACCCGAAACCCUGACCUGGAACAAGAGAACAAGAUGCUUCGUCUGAAAAGUUGAUUUGAGAGGAAAAACUUUUCCUGCAUGAUAAGGAGACCAGAAGAAAGCAUCGUGUUUUUUAAUUUUAGUUUCUAAAAUGAAAGGAAAACUAUUUUACCCACUUAAAAUAUGUUGUAAUAUGUAUGGUCAAAGCUUAUUUCUCAUUAAGUGGUGAUUUUUUUAAUGAAACACAUAUAUUGAACCUACCAUGAUCAUUUAUUGUGAAAGACAAAAAAAACUUUUUGCAAUCUAAGUUCAUCUGAUGAUCUCAUAAUUGUCUUUUUUUUUUUAUUGAAUGAUUAAAAAAGAGAAGAAACAGAACAACUAAAAAGGGAUACUUUAUAUAAAAAAAACAGACUGGAUCUAAAAAUAAAAGACUUAAAAAACUGGGAGUUCAUAAUUUUUGCAAAGACAAAUGUUUCCAUGUCUGAAUAUUCCCAAACAGCCAAACAAGCAGCACAGCCAUUAUGGAUAUUAGCUGCUCCACUAGAGGCUAACGCUAAUUCACAACAAAUGUUUUGUACAGUCAUGCAUAUUAUUUACUUACUUCAGUUUUUCACAAAUCUGACACCAAAUAAAGUAGUGAAAGAGCAUGAAUUAUUGCUGAAAGAAUUUUUCUUAAUGGUUUAUGCUAACUGCUAAUGGUAAAACUACAUCUUACACAAAACUAAUGCUGUUAAUUUCCCACUAAAAUACCAAUACCGUUCACUGUAAAACUCCUGUCUGAUCAUAAACAACCUCUGAAGCAAGUACUCAGAUUUGGAAAAAAUCACUCUUCUUAUUUCCUGCAGUCGCUAGCUAUGCUAACGCUUCUCUGUACAUAAAUAAGAUCAGCAAUUGGAGACUCAGUUUUAGUUGAUUUACUUGUUUUUUCUUUCAGUUCUUCUCUACAACAGAAAACAAACAAUACAAAUCUGUUAAAGCAGCAACUGACAAGACUUAAGCAAAGUCAUUUUCAAACAUCCGUUGUAGUUGCACUGCUAGCGCUAGCGUGUACAUAAAAAUAUCAAACCAGAGAGGCUCAGUUUCAGCUGGGAUAUGUUUUGUUCUUUUCUGUAAAAGAAAACUAACAAAUCAUGAACCAUCCCAGAACCUUUAAACAAACUUAUCAUGCAAGUCUUAACUGCUAAUUUUGUGACUCAAUGCAGCUCAUACUUUUGUGUGCUUUGAAAAACUAUAGAAUAUUUUUUGAUUUAUUAUUUCUCUGUGGAACAAAGACAUGAAUAAACAUCCACCUGAAGCCAGUAGA